rnacentral:lncRNA from 1 species
AUGGCACCCCACUGCACCUCCCGCCGCACCCCGGCCCCCGCCUCUCCCCAUCUCCUCGCACCGCGUCCUCUCCGGCUGGGGGUGCCCCGUCUCUCCCUGCUGCUCUCGGAGCUGAGAUUGGAGCUGUCUAAGGCGAGUCUUCGAGUGGCCUUUUCUCUCCUCCUCUUGCUCCGAGCGGUUUCUGUGGGGGUCACCACCCCCUCAACUCCCCAUCCAGGCACCGCGGGGUGUGGGUCUGGCGUGGUGCGGGUGACCUGUUUCUCUUGGGUUUGGUUUUUUUCUUUUGUGACAGUAUUAGAGGGGGUGGGACGUGCCCCUGUGCGGCGGGAGGAGUGGUGUGGGCACAUGGCAGGGCUGGGGCAACCUCUGGAGCCUUCCGUGGCCCAGAGCCGCCCUCUGCCCUCGGCCUGUCCUCUCCGCGGCUGCUCUCGCCCUCCGCUCAGGCGACUCACGGGUUUUCGGUCAGAGCUCAGGAACCCGGGACUCUCCUGCAAACACCUCACGGCCCAGGGGAGAGGCUCUGCUCUGGGCUGGAACUGCCAAAGGCUGCCCCGUCUCCCGGGGCUGGCAGAAAGGCCCCCGCACAGCUCCUGCACCUCCUGGCACGGGGCCCCGGCCCCUGCCCUGUCGCACACGCACACUCCCUGGCGGGCGGCCAUCGGCUGGUGGCAGCUCUGCCCUCCUCGAGAUAAUCGCCCCCUUCCUCCUUCUCCUCUUGUUGCUUUUACAAUCUCCCCCUCAGCCCGGCGGGGGGGUCCCAAAGGCAUCUCUCCCUCCCUCAGCCCAGCUCUGCGCCCUCAGAGCCCCAAAGCGCUGCCGUUUACAGCCGGUGUCCGAGUGGCUUCGCCGUGGAGCCCGCCCGGCGCUGGCCUGGUCCUUAAUGUCUCUCUUGCUGCUACUUCUCCUUCCCUUUGGACUUGGGCUGGCUCGGGGAGGGAGAGGGGAGGGGAGGGGAGGCCCCCGGCCCCCAGGGAUGGCUCCCGGCCCAGCUGGAGGAAGCAGGUUUGCUCCCAGCCAUCAUCUCACCAGCAUCGAACACCUGGGUGCUGCUGUGCCCCUUCCUGCGGGGCGGCGCGGGGCUCCCCGUGCUCCCCGGGGCCGCGGGACAAUCCGGGUACAAUCACAGCUUCCCCCGGCGUCCCUCGCCCUGCCGGCUGGUGGCUGACGCCAAGGCUUGUCCCCUCUCAAGGCUUGUCCCCUCUCGAGCCGUGGCUGGCUGGGGCGUGGGGCCAGGGCUGGGACCGUCCCCACCAGCAGAGCAGCUCCCCGGGCACGGGGCCAUGA